UCCCACAAGAAGUAUUAUGAACUCAUGAUAUUUAUGGCUGUCAGUGUCUGCCAGUCCUCACUGGAGUCAUCAUUACAGAACAAUCAUGUUUGCAGCGCCCAACUUCUCAGUGAUGAAGUCAGAUCUUUUCCAGGCUUAUUGAAUGCCUGGAGAAGAUUUAUGAUCUUUUCAAUCUGGGAGAUAUGUGACUAAGAAUGGAUGAAGCUGCACAAGUGAAUGUAUAUGAGUACUGUACCGAGGAAAAUGAAAACAAAAGUAUAGUACUAGAUGUCACCCCAUCAUCACACAGUCAAAAGGUUGGCUCUUAAGUAACACACAAACUUCAUGGGGGGAAUUUUAGCCACAGGGAAGAAAAUAAAGUCUGAGUUGUUAUAAAGGAGCUUUUGAAAGACCAUGGAGUCAAGAUUUACAUCUGACCCUCCCUGUCACAGAAAUGAUAAAUGAGAUAUUCCCAGCCCAGCAUCAUAGUUUCUCCCCAGCUCUCCAUUGAUUUUGGGCACCAGGAGCCUCAGGACAGGAGGAGUACACAUAGGCCUGGAGCAUCCCUCUGCCUGUAGUUUUGUCCUGUGCCUCCAUCACAAGGAGUGUGCAGGGAAAUACAGGAUGUCACAGGGCUCUCCUCAGGUGCACAGUGCCCACCAUGGGAAGUGACUUCAGCCUGGAGUGUAGGGUUUCCUUCCUGGAACCUCUGGCUAACUUCAGCACCUGAAGUGUCUCUGGAAGAUGCUCAGAUGAAAUAGGAAGACGAAGGAGGAUUUGCAGUCAUUCAGCAGUGUAUAUGUGCCAGAUAUCACACAACCAGCAUUCCUACGUCCUGUCCUUGCAGGUUUAUUGUUACAGAUGAACUUCUAACAUCACUGUUUGCCGAACUGUACCAUAAAUAAAUAAAUAAAUAAAUACAUAAAUGGAUUUUGGGAAGCAUUGCUGAAGA